rnacentral:tRNA from 2 species
AAGAAUUUAGGUUAUAAUAAACUUCCGGCCUUCAAAGUCGAAAAAAGAAAAUUUUCUAAUUCUU